rnacentral:rRNA from 1 species
AGGACGAACGCUGGCGGCGUGCUUAACACAUGCAAGUCGAGCGGAAAGGCCCUUCGGGGUACUCGAGCGGCGAACGGGUGAGUAACACGUGAGUAAUCUGCCCCUAGCUCUGGGAUAGCUCCGGGAAAACCGGGAUUAAUACCAGAUACGACCACUUUAGACAUCUUCUGUGGUGGAAAGAACUUCGGCUAGGGAUGAACUCGCGGCCUAUCAGCUUGUUGGUGAGGUAACGGCUCACCAAGGCGACGACGGGUAGCCGGCCUGAGAGAGCGACCGGCCACACUGGGACUGAGACACGGCCCAGACUCCUACGGGAGGCAGCAGUGGGGAAUAUUGCGCAAUGGGCGAAAGCCUGACGCAGCGACGCCGCGUGGGGGAUGAAGGCCUUCGGGUUGUAAACCCCUUUCAGCAGGACGAAGCGAAAGUGACGGUACCUGCAGAAGAAGCGCCGGCUAACUACGUGCCAGCAGCCGC